AUUCUUCAUUUCAUGAUAUGUCAGUGUGAAAAUGAGAAAUUGGAAGUACAAUAAAUUCAAAAUGUCGAUGUUCCAAGUGAAACAAAGGAAUCCCCAACUGAAUAUAUGGAGGCAGCUUCAGAUAGCAAAGUCUUGCUAAUUAUUUGCCUCUCAGCCCUGCUCGAGGCUGUCAUGGAUACCCAAUCCGUGAUGAAUUGUGAGCCUCUUCAGGAAAUUACCAUCUACAAGGGCACCCUGUCAGAAGGAGGGAGAGAGUUUACACUGAUAUGCAAGUUACAUUUAAGAAGAACUGAAAGUCUCAGACAGCGUAAGGCAAACUCUAGAACAAGCUGUCAGAACAGUGCAACCUUUAAUAUUCAUAUAUCUAUUCAGGAUGCAUCACUGCAUAAUGCGUAUUGCAGUCAUCAGAAACACAUGUUUAGCAGCUAGAAACAGUAAAAUAACUUGUUAAAGCUAAAAUG